rnacentral:lncRNA from 1 species
GUUCACACCCCUUGGGCUAUGAUACGUUCGUACCCCUUGGAUCGCGACAUGUUCGUACUUCCUGGAUCACGACACGUUCGUACCUCUUGGAUAACAAAACACUCACAUCCUUUAGGUCACGAUACACUCGCAUCCUUUGGAUCACGAUGCACUCGCAUCCCUUGGAUUACAACGCACUCCCAUCCCUUGGAUUACGAUAUGAUCGCACCUCUUCGAAAGUCU